rnacentral:rRNA from 1 species
GUAGGGGGGCGAGCGUUGUCCGGGAUUUAUUGGGGCGUAAAGAGCUCGUAGGCGGUUGCGUAAGUCGGAUGUGAAAACUCAGGGGCUCAACCCUGAGAUGCCAUUCGAUACUGCGCUGACUGGAGUCCCGGUAGGGGAGCAUGGAAUUCCUGGUGUAGCGGUGAAAUGCGCAGAUAUCAGGAGGAACACCAGUGGCGAAGGCGGUGCUCUGGGCCGGUACUGACGCUGAGGAGCGAAAGCAUGGGUAGCAAACAGGAUUAGAUACCCUGGUAGUCCAUGCCGUAAACGUUGGGCACUAGGUGUGGGGCCUACUUAACGGGUUCCGUGCCGUAGCUAACGCAUUAAGUGCCCCGCCUGGGGAGUACGGCCGCAAGGCUA